rnacentral:rRNA from 1 species
GAUGAACGCUGGCGGCGUGCCUAAUACAUGCAAGUCGAGCGAACAGACGAGGAGCUUGCUCCUCUGACGUUAGCGGCGGACGGGUGAGUAACACGUGGAUAACCUACCUAUAAGACUGGGAUAACUUCGGGAAACCGGAGCUAAUACCGGAUAAUAUAUUGAACCGCAUGGUUCAAUAGUGAAAGACGGUUUUGCUGUCACUUAUAGAUGGAUCCGCGCCGCAUUAGCUAGUUGGUAAGGUAACGGCUUACCAAGGCAACGAUGCGUAGCCGACCUGAGGGGAGGAAAGGCCACAGUGGAAAAGAGGCACGGAACAGAGUCCUACGGGAGGCAGCAGUAGGGAAUAAUGAGCAGGGGACGAGAACUUGACAGAUCAGCGUGGAGAGAGGAAUGAAGGUCUUAGGAUCAUAAAACGCUGUUAUUAGGGAAGAACAAAUGGGAAAGAAACUAUGCGCGUAGUGACGGAAGCUAGUCAGAAGGCGACGGCUAACUACAAG